rnacentral:rRNA from 1 species
AGUAGUCAUAUGCUUGUCUCAAAGAUUAAGCCAUUCAUGUGUAAGUAUGAACUAUUUCAGACUGUGAAACUGUGAAUGGCUCAUUAAAUCAGUUAUAGUUUUUUUUAUUGUAUGUGCUACUCGGAUAACCAUAGUAAUUCUAGAGCUAAUACAUGCAACAAAUCUCAAUUUUCGAAAGGGAUGCAUUUAUUAGAUAAAAGGUUGAUGCGAGCUUUGCCCGUCGCUCCAAUGAUUCAUGAUAACUCGACGGAUCGCACGACCCUUGUGCCGGCGAUGCAUCAUUCAAAUUUCUGCCCAAUCAACUUUCGAUGGUAGGAUAGGAGCCUACCAUGGUGGUAACGAUGACGGAGAAUUAGGGUUCAAUUCUGGAGAGGGAGCCUGAGAAACGGCUACCACAUCCAAGGAAGGCAACAGGCGUGCAAAUUACCCAAUCCUAACAUGGGGAGGUAGUGAUAAUAAAUAACAAUACUGGGCUCUUGAGUAUGGUAAUUGAAAUGAGUAUAAUCUAAAUCCCUUAACGAGGAUACAUUGGAGGGCAAGUCUGGUACCAGCAGCCAUGGUAAUUCCAGCUCCAAUAGCAUAUAUUUAAGUUGUUGCAGUUAAAAUGCUCGUAGUUGGACUUUGGGAUGCGUAUGUCGGUCUGCCUCGCGGUGUGCACUGGUCGUCCCAUCCCUUCUGUCAGUGAUGUGUGCCUGGCCCUAACUUGUUGGGUCGUGCCUCCGACACUAGUACUUUGAAGAAAUUAGAGUGCUCAAAGCAAGCCUAUGCUCUAGAUACAUUAGCAUGGGAUAACAUCACAGGAUUUCGAUCCUAUUGUGUUGGCCUUCGGGAUUGGAGUAAUGAUUAAGAGGGACAGUCGGGGGCAUUCAUAUUUCAUAGUCGGAGGUGAAAUUCUUGGAUUUAUGAAAGAUGAACCACUAUAAAAGCAUUUGCCAAGGAUGUUUUCAUUAAUCAAGAACGAAAGUUAGGGGCUUGAAGACGAUCAGAUAUUGUCCUAGUCUCAACCAUAAAUGAUUCCGACCAGGGAUCGAUGGAUGUUGCUCUUAGGAUUCCACCGGCACCUUAUGAGAAAUCAAAGUCUAUGGGUUCCGGGGGGAGUAUGGUCGCAAGGCUGAAACUUAAAGGAAUUGACGGAAGGGCACCACCAGGAGUGGAACCUNUCGGGGGCAUUCGUAUUUCAUAGUCAGAGGUGAAAUUCUUGGAUUUAUGAAAGAUGAACCACUGCGAAAGCAUUUGCAAGGAUGUUUUCAUUAAUCAAGAACGAAAGUUGGGGGCUCGAAGAUGAUCAGAUACCGUUGCUCUUAGGACUCCGCCGGCACCUUAUGUGAAAUCAAAGUCUUUGGGUUCCGGGGGGAGUAUAGUCGCAAGGCUGAAACUUAAAGGAAUUGACAUAAGGGCACCACCAGGAGUGGAGCCUGCGGCUUAAUUUGACUCAACAUGGGGAAACUUACCAGGUCCAGACAUAGCAACGAUUGACAGACUGAGAGCUCUUUCUUGAUUCUAUGGGUGGUGGUGCAUGGCCGUUCUUAGUUGGUGGAGCGAUUUGUNAUAGCAAGGAUUGACAGACUGAGAGCUCUUUCUUGAUUCUAUGGGUGGUGGUGCAUGGUCGUUCUUAGUUGGUGGAGUGAUUUGUCUGGUUAAUUCCGAUAACGAACGAGACCUCAGCCUGCUAACUAGCUACACGGAGGCAUCCCUCCGCAGCCAGAUUCUUAGAGGGACUAUGGCCGU